rnacentral:tRNA from 1 species
GGAUCGUUAGUUCAAUUGGCAGAACAUUCGUCUUUUAAGCGAAGUAUUCCGAGUUCGAGUCUCGGACGAUCCA